rnacentral:rRNA from 1 species
UACGUAGGGGGCAAGCGUUGUCCGGAAUCAUUGGGCGUAAAGCGCGUGUAGGCGGCCCGGUAAGUCCGCUGUGAAAGUCGGGGGCUCAACCCUCGAAUGCCGGUGGAUACUGUCGGGCUAGAGUGCGGGAGAGGCGAGUGGAAUUCCUGGUGUAGCGGUGAAAUGCGCAGAUAUCAGGAAGAAUACCCGUGGCGAAGGCGGCUCUCUGGGACGGUACUGACGCUGAGACGCGAAAGCGUGGGGAGCGAACAGG